rnacentral:rRNA from 1 species
AAGUCGUAACAAGGUUUUGUAUGUGGAAGCCUUGGAAAGUGAUCGAAGAGAGCGAUUGCUAGUUCUAUUUGAUAGAGCGACACCAUCAAACUGAUCGGGAAGGCCCUAAAGCAUGAUCUACCAAGUGGGAUUUGUAAGAAUUUCAUGGCCAGGGUAAUGACCUCGGGUAUGGUAAAAACGACCAUGAUGAAUUAGAUGAAAUGGGUAACCUGCAGCCAAGCCCCCGUUUUCGAAUGGGGGUGCAGUUCACAGACUAGAUGUUGGUGGGGAGACUAGAUGUCAUCUUAAGAUAUAGUCGGUCCUUCUGUGAAAGCAGAGGGGUUACACGUUCCGUAGGUGAACCUGCGGAAGGAUCAUUGGAGAGAGAAAGGGGGAGAGAGUUGGAAUGUGAUGAGACGAGAGAUUCAAACUAUAUAGUGAAUGAUCAUACAACUGCUGACAAUGGAUCUCUGGGCUCUUGCGUCGAUGAAGAACGCAGCAAAACGCGAAAAGUGUUAUGAUGUGCAGUCUUUGAGAAUCAUGAAUGUUUGAACGCACCUUGCACCACCGAGCGAUUGGGGGUAUGCCUGUUUGAGCGGGGAAAUUGAGUGAACAGUGGUUUAUUGUGGGGUACUAGGUAACACCUUGCCCUGAAAGACAGAUCUCGUGUACUCUUGGGAUAAUCCAUCAAGAAGCACAUUUACAGUAUACCACCUCAAUCAGGCAGAUGACCCGCUGAACUUAA